GGGGGGGGGGGGGGGGGGGGGGGGGGGGGGGGGGGGGGGGGGUGGGGGGGGGAGGGGGGUGGGGGGGGGUGGGGGGGGGACGGGGGGGUAACGCGUGGGUGACCUGCCCCCUUCGUCUGGAUAACCGCAUGAAAGUGUGGCUAAUACGGGAUAUUCUGCGCCUGCUGCAUGGUGGGUGUGGGAAAGAUAUUGUUUCGGUGGGGGGUGGGCUCGCGGCCUAUCAGCUUGUUGGUGGGGUGAUGGCCUACCAAGGCGGGGACGGGUAGCCGGCCGGAGAGGGUGGACGGUCACACUGGGACUGAGACACGGCCCAGACUCCUACGGGAGGCAGCAGUGGGGAAUAUUGCACAAUGGGCGCAAGCCUGAUGCAGCGACGCCGCGUGAGGGAUGGAGGCCUUCGGGUUGUGAACCUCUUUCGCCAGUGAAGCAGGCCUGUCCCUUGUGGGUGGGUUGACGGUAGCUGGAUAAGAAGCGCCGGCUAACUACGUG
rnacentral:rRNA from 1 species